rnacentral:rRNA from 1 species
GAUGAACGCUAGCUACAGGCUUAACACAUGCAAGUCGAGGGGCAUCAGGAAGAAAGCUUGCUUUCUUUGCUGGCGACCGGCGCACGGGUGAGUAACACGUAUCCAACCUGCCCUUUACUCGGGGAUAGCCUUUCGAAAGAAAGAUUAAUACCCGAUGGCAUAAUGAUUCCGCAUGGUUUCAUUAUUAAAGGAUUCCGGUAAAGGAUGGGGAUGCGUUCCAUUAGGUUGUUGGUGAGGUAACGGCUCACCAAGCCUUCGAUGGAUAGGGGUUCUGAGAGGAAGGUCCCCCACAUUGGAACUGAGACACGGUCCAAACUCCUACGGGAGGCAGCAGUGAGGAAUAUUGGUCAAUGGGCGCUAGCCUGAACCAGCCAAGUAGCGUGAAGGAUGAAGGCUCUAUGGGUCGUAAACUUCUUUUAUAUAAGAAUAAAGUGCAGUAUGUAUACUGUUUUGUAUGUAUUAUAUGAAUAAGGAUCGGCUAACUCCGUGCCAGCCGCCGCAGUAA